UGUUAAAAAGAUCAUCCAUUUUUACCAUAAAAAAGCUAGUGUGACUGAUGAAAUUACUAUAUAGUUACAUAUAACAUACCACGUGUACUUCAUGUUAACACACAAUGAUUAAUUUUUAAUAAUAAAAAUAGAUGAAAUUUUUAACA
rfam:Gossypium raimondii Chr10_contig_1164, whole genome shotgun sequence.